AUCAUUUGUAAAUGUUUGGUGAUCAGUCGGUAUGAUGCUCGUUUAAAACAGCGUGUUAGGCGUCAGUUAAUUUGGUGUUUGUGAAUUUGUGAACGUGAAAGGGCGAAGAAAAUGCCUGAUAAAGUAGGCUUUUGACUUGCAUAAAUAGGUCAAUUGCAUCGAACAAAAUCUUGACAUCUCAAGGGGAUUGAGAAUUUCCUCCUCUAGUGCUUGGUGACUUAGGAAGCACAUAGUUAUCGCCAGAAAGGAGAUAAGCAAUGACUGAACUGCCUGUCAUUAUGGCUUCUGUAGAAAUAGAUGACAACCGAGCCCCACCUGUUGAGCCUGAAGAAAAGAAGGGAGCUGAGACACUUUGUGAAGUGGUCUGUCGGGUGUUGAGGAAACGGGUACAAGGUACAUGCCAACCACGUGAAUCCUCGAAAAGAAGAUCCUGUUUAAGACCAAUGAAGCUGAAUACAUCACAGAAGACUGAUGAUGCGGAAAGUUAUUUUACCAGCAGGAAAUUUCGUCCCCUGAAAGUCAAAUCCUUGGCUACAAUAUAUGAAGAGCCUGUAGUAAAAAAAAACGGAACAGUAGUCCACACAGGACAAACUAAAAUAAGAAAAAUAAAUUUUAAUGUCAUUAGUAAAGAUAAGAUAAGGAAAAGGAAAGCAAAAAUGAAGAAAGUUAUAAGUAGUACAAAUCUCAAGAAUAGGAAAUUGUCAAUGGAUGAAUUUCUGCCUAGGCUCGAAGGACUCUUGGGUUCUUCAUCUACUGGUAACAGUGACAUAAAUAUUAUAACUUCAUUGGAAAAUUGUGAAGUGGAAUGACUGUUUAUAGCAUAUAAUUUUCUUCUGGGCUUCUGUUUUUAUGUAACAGGUAAAGAAAACGAGUCUGUAAUCCUGCAUUAACUAGUAUAAAACCCUAUAUUAUA